UACGGAAGGCAGCAGUGGGGAAUAUUGCACAAUGGGCGCAAGCCUGAUGCAGCCAUGCCGCGUGUAUGAAGAAGGCCUUCGGGUUGUAAAGUACUUUCAGUCGUGAGGAGGGUGUUAAGGUUAAUAACCUUAGCAAUUGACGUUAGCGACAGAAGAAGCACCGGCUAACUCCGUGCCAGCAGCCGCGGUAAUACGGAGGGUGCGAGCGUUAAUCGGAAUUACUGGGCGUAAAGGGCACGCAGGCGGUUAAUUAAGUUGGAUGUGAAAUCCCCGGGCUUAACCUGGGAAUGGCAUUCAAGACUGGUUAGCUAGAGUCUUGUAGAGGGGGUAGAAUUCCAUGUGUAGCGGUGAAAUGCGUAGAGAUGUGGAGGAAUACCGGUGGCGAAGGCGGCCCCUGGGACAAAGACUGACGCUCAUGUGCGAAAGCGUGGGGAGCAAACAGGGAUUAGAUACC
rnacentral:rRNA from 1 species